GAUGAACGCUGGCGGCGUGCCUAAUACAUGCAAGUCGAGCGAAUGGAUUAAGAGCUUGCUCUUAUGAAGUUAGCGGCGGACGGGUGAGUAACACGUGGGUAACCUGCCCAUAAGACUGGGAUAACUCCGGGAAACCGGGGCUAAUACCGGAUAACAUUUUGAACCGCAUGGUUCGAAAUUGAAAGGCGGCUUCGGCUGUCACUUAUGGAUGGACCCGCGUCGCAUUAGCUAGUUGGUGAGGUAACGGCUCACCAAGGCAACGAUGCGUAGCCGGCCUGAGAGGGUGAUCGGCCACACUGGGACUGGAGCACGGCCCAGACUCCUGCGGGAGGCAGCAGUAGGGAAUCUUCCGCAAUGGACGAAAGUCUGACGGAGCAACGCCGCGUGAGUGAUGAAGGCUUUCGGGUCGUAAAACUCUGUUGUUAGGGAAGAACAAGUGCUAGUUGAAUAAGCUGGCACCUUGACGGUACCUAACCAGAAAGCCACGGCUAACUACGUGCCAGCCGCCGCGGUAA
rnacentral:rRNA from 1 species